rnacentral:lncRNA from 1 species
AAUAUUUAGGCUUUUCAUUUUUCAAGGAAUUCUCAUUCUGCUCCUUAAACUUUUCAUGGAAAAACUGACUUCGUGCAGCCAAUAUACAGCGAUUAACGCCAACAUCAAUCCCCUCAACGACUAUUUCUGCAUCACUGUAGUUAUAUUCAGGAUUAAGCAGGAGUUUCUCAAGACUACCACAUAAAUUACUCAAAUGAUCAACACUUGGUCCUGGUUCCUGGGGACUACUGCACUCAUUUGAUACAUUAGAAGAUGCAGCAAAACUCUCGUGGCCGCUCUCCAUUGUUCAAACUUAAUUAUUGCUUUGGUAAUUAAACUAGCAAGAAUUCAUCCCUGAGAGAGCAAGAAAUCAAUAAUAUGCUCAGCAUGACCAAACAUUUAAUGACUUCAGACACCAAAUCCUUGCAUCAAGAGCAUGAAUCCACCAAAAAAAAGUUAAGUACUUAAUAUUCUAUUUCCAUGUCAUCAUCCAAAGCAAAGUUUUAAGAUAGAAAGAAAACAUAUCAUCAGCUCAGAACACCCAAAACACAAAAUGGACUUCAAGGGUAGGCUAAAAAAUUAAUCUUUUCUUGAUUCCCAAAACCUACACCUUCUUAACAACACCAAAAAUCAAUCUUUAAGCUACCCAAUUUCCCCAAACAGAGCAAAAACCUCAAGUAACAACACAACAAUGGUAAAGUCAAUCAGGUCAACGCUAGCACAAAAUCUCAAAAAAAACAAGCCUGAAUUAACAAUGAAAAAUGAGAGAAUUGGAAAUAUGAGUCCUUUUUCCCCACCCCUUAUUCUUUAAGAGCAUAAAGAUUCUAUCUUUGAGCUACCCACUUCCCCCAAACAAGGCAAAUAGAGUACC